rnacentral:rRNA from 1 species
UACGUAGGGUGCAAGCGUUGUCCGGAAUCAUUGGGCGUAAAGAGCGUGUAGGUGGCUCGGUAAGUCCGCUGUGAAAGUCCAGGGCUCAACCCUGGAACGCCGGUGGAAACUGUCGAGCUCGAGUCCGGAAGAGGCGAGUGGAAUUCCUGGUGUAGCGGUGAAAUGCGCAGAUAUCAGGAGGAACACCAAUGGCGAAGGCAGCUCGCUGGGACGGUACUGACACUGAGACGCGAAAGCGUGGGGAGCAAACAGG